rnacentral:rRNA from 1 species
AUUGAACGCUGGCGGCAUGCCUUGCACAUGCAAGUCGAACGGUAACAGGUCUUCGGAUGCUGACGAGUGGCGAACGGGUGAGUAAUACAUCGGAACGUGCCUAGUAGUGGGGGAUAACUACUCGAAAGAGUGGCCAAUACCGCAUGAGAUCUACGGAUGAAAGCAGGGGAUCGCAAGACCUUGUGCUACUAGAGCGGCCGAUCGCAGAUUAGGUAGUUGGUGGGAUAAAAGCUUACCAAGCCGACGAUCUGUAGCUGGUCUGAGAGGACGAUCAGCCACACUGGGACUGAGACACGGCCCAGACUCCUACGGGAGGCAGCAGUGGGGAAUUUUGGACAAUGGGCGCAAGCCUGAUCCAGCAAUGCCGCGUGCAGGAUGAAGGCCUUCGGGUUGUAAACUGCUUUUGUACGGAACGAAAAGCCCUGGGUUAAUACCCUGGGGUCAUGACGGUACCGUAAGAAUAAGCACCGGCUAACUACGUGCCAGCCGCCGCUGUAAUAC